GUCUACAAUUACUUAUUAGUUCCUUUUGUCUUAUUUUCUAUCCUUGUAUCUAUUUAUGUAACAUGUCCAAGAUCUAUAUCAGUAAGGGAAUAAGAGAUUUCUCCUUCUUACCCUCUCAAUUUGCAACAUACUCUCUCUCUCUCUCUCUCAUUCUUAUUCUUAUGUUUCUCACUUAAUCUCUUCACACAAUCAGAUAAUAAAUCACUAAAUCUCACAUGUAUCAGAGC
rnacentral:lncRNA from 1 species